rnacentral:rRNA from 1 species
ACUCCUACGGGAGGCAGCAGUGGGGAAUAUUGCACAAUGGGGGAAACCCUGAUGCAGCCAUGCCGCGUGUGUGAAGAAGGCCUUGGGUUGUAAAGCACUUUCAGUAGGGAGGAAGGUAGUGUAGUUAACACCUGCAUUAUUUGUACGUUACCUACAGAAGAAGCACCGGCUAACUCCGUGCCAGCAGCCGCGGUAAGUACGGAGGGUGCGAGCGUUAAUCGGAAUUACUGGGCGUAAAGCGCAUGCAGGCGGCCUGUUAAGUCAGAUGUGAAAGCCCGGGGUCUUAACCUCGGAAUUGCAUUUGAAACUGGCAGGCUAGAGUCUUGUAGAGGGGUUAGAAUUUCGAGGUGUAGCGGUGAAAUGCGUAGAGUAUCG